AUGCACUUUUGAACCUGAAUGGCUUUUCCCUUAGCCAUUCAAAUAAGGUCAAGAGCGGUGCAAUAUCAUUUCUUGUCAUAACUGGGGUUUCUUGGCAAUUUUACCAGGUCUCUCUUUUAGAGCAAGGCACAUAA
rnacentral:snoRNA from 14 species